rnacentral:rRNA from 1 species
CCUACGGGUGGCUGCAGUAGGGAAUCUUUCACAAUGGGCGAAAGCCUGAUGGAGCAACGCCGCGUGCAGGAUGAAGGCCUUCGGGUUGUAAACAGCUUGUAUAAGCGAGAAAUAUGAUGGUAACUUAUGAAUAAGGAUCGGCUAACUACGGGGCAGCAGCCGCGGUCAUACGUAGGAUACGAGCAUUAUCCGGAUUGACUGGGUGUAAAGAGUUGCGUAGGUGGCAUAGUAAGUAGCUAGUGAAAUCUGGGGGCUCAACCAUUCAGACUAUUAGCUAAACUGCUAAGCUCGAGACCGUUAGGGGUAACUGGAAGUUCUAGUGUAGGAGUGAAAUCCGUAGAUAUUAGAAGGAACACCGAUAGCGUAGGCAGGUUACUGGGACGGUUCUGACACUAAGGCACGAAAGCGUAGGGAGCAAACGGGAUUAGAUACCCGAGUAGUC